rnacentral:rRNA from 1 species
UACGUAGGUCCCGAGCGUUGUCCGGAUUUAUUGGGCGUAAAGCGAGCGCAGGUGGUUUAAUAAGUCUGAUGUAAAAGGCAGUGGCUCAACCAUUGUGUGCAUUGGAAACUGUUAGACUUGAGUGCAGUAGAGGAGAGUGGAAUUCCAUGUGUAGCGGUGAAAUGCGUAGAUAUAUGGAGGAACACCGGUGGCGAAAGCGGCUCUCUGGUCUGUAACUGACGCUGAGGCUCGAAAGCGUGGGGAGCGAACAGG